CCUCCCCCUUGAACUACUCUGUGUGCAUUUUCCAGAGAGCGUGUGUUUCAAAUGAAAGGUCAAACAGGAGAUCGGUUUCAGUUUGGAGCUACAGGAGGGUGAUUAUUUCUCUAAUGUGAUUUGCUUCCUGUUGCUAAAACAGUCCUUUGAAAUGAGGUUGUUUGCUAAGUGAGGCAUCUCCUUCCUCUUUCUCCUGUGGAUGAAUUACAGAGUAAGAAGAAUCAUUCUGAGGCUCCUCACUGUGAUGGACUGAGGAGCCUUAUUUAUUCCCUGUGGAUAGUGGCCUGCCACUGGAGAGCCACAGGCUGGAGUGACAGAGCUGACUCAUGGGGUAGGGAGAAAAUGGCCUGGAUCACUGACAGAGGAAUCAAACUCAGGACCUUGUGCUUGCAAGGCAGGCGGCAGAACUACUGAGCUAAAUUCCCGGCCCACAAUGUUCAUUUUCAUUGCUGUGAUUACAUUACACUGGGGGAAAACAACUGUUGGCAAGGAUGUGGAGAAAAGGGAACCCUUGCACACUGUUUGUGGGAAUGCAAAUUCGCACCACCAUUAUGGAAAACAGCAUGGAGGUUCCUCAAAAAAUUAAAAACAGAGCUAUCGUAUGAUCCAGCUAACCCACUUCUGGGUAAAUAUCCAAGGGAAAUGAAACCAGUAUGUUAAAGAGACAUCUGCUCUUCUGUGUUCAUUGCAACACUAUUCACAAGAGCCAAGAAAUGGAAACAAGAAAUGGAAACAAGCUACGUGUCCGUCACUGGAUGAGUGGUACCGGGGAUCAAACUCAGGACCUUGCACUUGCAAGGCAGGCAGCAGCACCACUGAGCUAAAUCCCCAGCCCUAUUAUACAUUUUUAAAAGUUGCAGAUGGGUGACUGCUGCCUGAUCCUGGGUGAGAGGCAUUUUCUUUGCCAGUUGUCCAAAGAAUGGAAAUUUCCUGCAGUUUCACAGACAUAAUGGAUAUAUGCUGACUUUUUAAAAGCCAUCUGUUACUAGGGGCAAAAAGAAAUAAAAGAGGAAAAUACUUACUUUUAGACUCUCUAAUAUACGUGAAAAAAAAUCUUCCUAAAGAAAUGAGCAAAAAAAAAAAAGAAAGAAAGAAAAGAAAAGAACAACAGUCUUCAUAAAUCUGGAUCCUAGUACUCAUAUUGCAGGUUACCAGGUUCCAAGUGGCAUCUUAAGACCGGGAGGACACAAGGAACAAGGUGCAGCCUAAUCUGAAGAACAAGGGCAGUUCCUACGGAUGUGGACCUUGAGCAUCAGCUGGGCAGAAUGAAGUGAGACAGAAGCUGUCUCCUCGCUGAGUCUGGCAGCCAAAGAGGCUCAGGGGCCCGGACCCAGGAUGAACCUCAUGGGAAACCUCUUGGACCUCACCUUGCAGAUUCUACCAACUUUGCUACUAGGCUGUAACCUUGAUGAAUGGAAAAGGCAGAUCUCACCAGAUAAAGGAGGAGACCAAGUCAGACAACAAGGAAAUUAUCCACAUCAAACCCUCUGUUGCGAGUUCAAAAUGGUUGGAUGCAGUGCUUUUCUUAUAGCAGAAGUACUAUGGGGGAGGGGAGUUGCAUGCCUGCAUUGGUGUUUUAUAGCAACUACAUGUGGCCCAGAACUUUGGGAUAUUCCUGUCCUGUCUGCAUUCCAGCCGUGUCAAGAUCUUGCUUCUGUUUUUCAUGAAAAGAGCUCUGUGCUGUUUACAUGAGCUGCAGCUUGACCCGCAGCUGUACAACUUUCUUCUUCUAUUGUCUCAGGUCAAGAUGAAUUACAGACAGAGCCUUGACCAUAAAUAUUUAAUGAUUUUUAUCUUCAAAGCAUUGUGCAAGCACACUUAGUCUUAUUUUGAAGUGCUGAGUAGGCAUCUCCGAUCUUCUUUUAUGACAUAGUUUCUUUUUUAAAUGCUAGUCGCACCCUUUAUUCUGAAUCCUUAAUACAAGGCUGAGUUGUCUUUUUAUAAUAGCUUUAUUAAGAUAUAACUCAUAUAAUCAUAAAAUUUACCCUUUUAAAAUGUAGUGCUCAGUGGUUUUUAGUAUUUUUGGAGUUGUGCAACCAUUGCCACUCUCUGAUCUUAGAAUACUGUCUUCAUCACUCUGAAACGAAAUUGAUUUUCAGUAACUCUCCAUUCUGCCUCCCUCACCCUAUCUGACCUAAAGUACCUGUGGCAGACACUAAUCUAUUUUCUGUCUUUAUACCUAUUCUGAACAGUCUCACAUGUUUCUACUUGCCUUCUUUCUCUGCUACCUGCCUCCAUGAGAAGAGCAUCCCAGGGAUUGUCCACUUAUCCCAGAAGGUGAAUGAAAGACACUUGGAAAUGGAACAGAACUUUUCACCUCAGACAAGAGCAACUGCUUCGCAAAUUACUCAGAGUAGCUUGAACUAAAUAAAUCCUUGCUGUUACAUUCCACUGAGCUCUUGUGACCAUUUGUUAUGCAGUGAUAGCUUACUAAUACAAUGGCCAUUGUUAGCAACUCAGUUUUCCAUCUUAUGUUUUCACCAUCCAAGAGAGAUGGGGACAACUAGUGUCUGGUUCCAGCUAAGGGCUCUGAUUGACCCAUCCCUAAUUAUAAGUUAACAGGUUAGCCUGGCAUAGUUUCAUGGAAGUAAGCCAACAAAAUGUGGCCAUGAAGUGACAUGGAAGUGAAGACAUUAUUGUCACUGUUAUGUGAAGGAGUGGGGACAAUUGCUGAGAAAGGAAGGGGUGCUGGACACAUAGAACAUGCAGUCAUGACCUAGGAGGGACAAUGAGGUGCUACCCAAGCAGAGUGCAACUAUGUUCUUGGCACGUUUUACUUAUGUCUGUUCAGUCAUCAGGGAGAGAGCGAGCGAGCGAGAGAGAGAGAGAGAGAGAGGACCGAAUAAUGGUAAUUUUUCCUGGGAUGAAAGUGAAGUGUGUGUGUGUGUGUGUGUGUGUGUGUGUGGCUAUUGGAGAUAAGAAUCUCUGGUUAAAGGGUGGGCAUGGUGGCUCACACGAAUGAUCCCAGCACUGGGGAGGCUGAGGCAGGAGGAUCGCUGCGAGUUUGAGGCCAGCCUGGGCUACACAGUGAGUUCUAGGCCAGCCUGGACUACAUAGUGUGACCCUGUCUCAAAAAACCAAAACCAAAACAAACGAACAACAACAAAUAUCUGCUGUUAACUCGGCCUAAAUUCCAAGUCAUCACUCAAAAGGUUUAAGUCAUUUGCUAUACUGAAUGUGAUUCUAUGUAUUUUUGAACAGCUGUUUAUUUUAAACUAUAUAUAAUAGUAUACAUUGUAUAAUUACUCAUACUUCUUCCUGUAUAAUAUUGCAUUACAAAACCAUAUGUACUAUACUUAAUGGGAAGUUUAAGGAAUUUUCAAGUGCAACUGUCCAUUUCCAUACCUGCAUUAAGAAGCUUUUUCUCAGAAAUUACAUGUGUCUCAGAAGGGUGGAAGACAGGACCUGAGUGAGCAAAUAUUGCUUUUUAUCAUUUGGUGAAACAAAGGCUUAAAGUAGAAAUUAAGUAGAGUUUUGGAAAAAUAUUUUUUAAAUUCAAAUGAGUUUGUGAGUUGAGAUUCACACUACAACUCUACCCUUGUUAGUCUCACAUGUUAUUAUAGAAAAUGCAGUUGAGGUAGAAAGGAAUAUUAGAUGGUAGUGACAAAGAAUGAAUUAGUGCUACACGGAACAGCAGAUGAAUCUUACAAAUAUAAUGUUGAAUGAAAAAGAUUCAUAAGAGCGUUUAGUAUAUGAUCCUGUUUAUAUUAGGUUUCACACCAGGAAAAACUAAUCAAUAAUGUUAGAAAUGUUAGAAUGAGAUAAGGAAACAGAACUUGGGCACUGGCAGGAUACCUGAGACAGUUUUGCAUCCUGGAUUCUCUUCCAGCUGAUUGAGGUCCAUGGGAGACAAGGAUGGAGGUGUCAAAUCAUCCAGAGCAGAACCUGUGUGCCAGUCCCUGGAGACGGUCUAGAAAUUCAGGGGCACUUGGGGACUUGCACACAUCAGAAGAAAUAUCUGAGUAGGUGAGUGUGAGGUAUUGCCACUAAACCCUCUGUGCUGUUCACAGCUGGGUAGGAGCAUCAGAGUAUUCUGGCACAGGUAGCGGUGGCAUGGAUAUGGUCCAGAAGGUUGGCAGCCUUGAAAUGUUUUUGUUUUCUGGGCAAGGAUGGCCCAGCACUGCCCUGCUAGACUCAGUCAUAUUGUGCAGAUGGUGGAUCAGUUGGCCCUGACAAGAUGGCACUUUUAGCCAUCACAGAAUUUUCUGGAGAAGCCAGCUCUUCAUCCUUUCUUUUAGACUUUAAAAUCUUCAUAAAAAUGCUAUGGACCUACAGAGAGUAGUAUAUUUGAGCUCAGGAUUCUAGCAGAAUCAUGGACUUGAAAACAGUCAUGAUUUCUUGCCAUGGAUUACUUCUGCUUCUCCCUGUGUCCUUUCUCUUUGGUAAUGACUGGUUUUUCUCUCCUUCUUAGUCUACAUAGAGGAACAUGCUACCAGCUGGACCAAAGUUUUAAAUGUGAAAAUGCAAAUCCAGGAAAAGAGAUCUAUCCCUCUUCCGAAGCCCAAAGUGAACAUUUUCAAGGGGAUAAGAUUGAUUAGCCUACACUGGGAUGGUGCUCUCUGAAUCGAUAGCUUGUAGCUAGAAGAACAGGAUAAUACUGUACAAACUAUGUGGCUUGAUUUUUUUGACAAGGGGAAGGCAAGAUCUACAAAAGUAGGACAAGUGGUGGGACCAACAAUGUGAGUUCAGGGUGGUCAGUCCUCUUUGGCUUCUUUUCAUGGCUGCUGAGAAAGAAGAUGGAACAGGUUCCCUGAGCCCUCAUCCAAGGAAGUAAGAAUUGAUUACUAGCUUAGCCAUUACUUUACCUUGCUUGCAGACAUGUCCUCCUUUGAACUCUCUUUGUUUUUCUUUAUCUAUCUCCAGCCUGUAGACAAAGAAGCUCUGCUGAGGCUCCCAAGUGAAAGGUGCUGUCCCAUUUUACAAAAGCCUUAGGACCAGUCCUCAGAACACUUUGGUCCUUUGCCAUCCGAGAGCAAGUACACGGAGGUGUCUUGAGGCGUUAAGCGCCAGCUUGCAGAGAUAGUGAGGUAUAUUUUAGAACCCAAACUGCUGUCAGGGAACAUAUGGAUUUUGUUAUUUCCAUCCUAGCAGCUUUCUCUCCAUGGGUUUUGACAUAUGAAUUUCAAAAGGAGGGAGUGUUUUCCUGAUUGACACCUCAGAAAUACUCUUUGUGGCAAAAUCACAAAUAUUUCCAGAUCUUGCUGGGCAUGGAGAUGGCUGAGCUGCUGGAGACAUUCUAUCAGUGUCACUUGACACAGCGUGUGAGGUCAGGCAGGGGUGAACACUGUUGGCUGGACACAAAGGUUGAGCAUUAUCUGCUCUGUGGGGGGACACAUCACACUCAGCCAGCUCAGGAGGGAGACUGACACAUGUGGGUCAUUGCACGGAGUCUUUUCUCCCUGGCAGAGCAAAGCAGGCCUGACAUUCCCGGAAGAAAAUGACACUGAAAGCAGUCAGACAAAGGCCAGGCAAGCAUUACCAAGGCUUUCUGGAAAAAGCUUUCUUCGUGGACUCACGCCAAUCAUUACUUUACUUACCUUAACUAAUUCAUUUCUUGUUUUUGUUCCUUAAUAAAAGAAAGGCAACUGUCAUUUAUUGAAUUUUUUGUGGGCUAGGAUUGGUAGUGUGCAAGAAAUGGCUUGGCCAAGCUCAGGAGAACCAACUGAACAAUUUCCAGGAAUCCUGCAAGAUAACUGUUAAACACAAGCCAUUAUUAAAAAUUAAAUUAUACUAACAUAUAAUUAAACUGUGUUAGAACAGAGGUAAUAAAUACUCAAAACUCAUCACAUUCUAAUUAUUUUACUACAUUGUACUGUUGUGCUCAUGAACUUAUUUGUAUCUACUGCAUCUGUAUGUUGGAAAUACUGUAAAAUAACUUGCUACUGUGCAUCUCUGUGAAAAUUGGCCGUAGUGGGAGGAACUAGCAAAUGUUACAAAUCUGGGCCGGUUUUAAAAAUUGUUUUCAUCCUUCAAGAUAAUGACAACAGUGGAGAAAAUGUUAAUAAUACAGAUUAAAUUAAAAAUGUAUGUUUGUAGCUGAUACACUAUCAGCUACAAAAAUUUUGGAAAAUAGUAUUUGAAACUCAUUCCUUGAUUUGGUAAAGAAGUUGUAGUUGUUCAUGUCAUUGACCCAUGACCGAAAUUCUGACAUUUUCAUCUCAUUUUUAUCUUUUGAAUGUUAACAAAAAUAUCAAACAACAUAUCUGUGUCACAGCUAUACUCAUUUGUCAGUUGCAGCCAUAGGUUGGCUGUGGAUGCAACAGUUCAACAAUUCCUUGAAAGCAUUUUGUGAGAAUUAACUGGCUAAAUGAAAUUUACAAUAAUGAAUAUAGUAUAUCUCAUUAUUAGUAGUGAAUUAUGCGUGACAUAUCUUUUUAUCAGUAGAAUUUCCAUAAACAUUUAUGAAUACUCACACAUUUUUGAGGAGGGGUAAUUAUUAGCUAUUGUUACCUUUGCUAUGAAUAUACUUCCCUCUUUACCUUGUCUUCCAAGACCCAAUUCAAAGUCUGAUCUACCCCUUCUUUCUGGUCCUAUGUUGCAGCCCUUGUUACCAGUGCAUUAGGGUUUGGGAAGUUCCCUGUACUUUCUAGAAUAAGUAGAGUGGAAGAGCAGGAACCUUGAAUAUUCAGCUCUGAACAAGUUAGAGCUGUGCUCAAUGCUUGAUACCUAGGAGUUGUCCACAAGGUGUGGGUUGAAAGAGAGAGCAAGAACCCUGGGCAGAAGUGGGGAGAAAGAGAAAAGAAAGUGGUCAUGUACGUAGAAAAGGGGCAGUGGGCAGUACUGCUACCUGCCAUGUAGGUUGACAUACUCAGGUGUGUUUGCUCACUGCUGACCAAAUCAAAGGAGGCCAUUUAUUUUGGUAAAAAAGAAAAAGGAUUUAUUCAAAGCUAGCUCUAAGGAAAUGGAGGUGCCCUUUUGCCUCCAACCCCAAGCUCACUGUGUACAGGUGUGAAGGGACAGGGAGAGGGAACACAGAGAUAAUGCACAUCUUCACCCUUGCUUUGUGGCUUCAGGCAUCUUCAGCUCCUUCUCUACUUUCUUGUAGAAAGGAAACUGGGCCCUGGCCUCCAUGGGGCUGGUAUCUGCAAUUUUGUCACUUUUGGGGGGCAGACGAGAGAAGGGCGUGUUGGUUAUGUGCUCAGUAGGAGAUGUGUGGAGAAAUGUAGAGAAGUUGCUUAUCUCUAAAAUUAAAAAAUUAUAAUUUAAAGUUCCAUUUUGUGGUGCCAGUUACAAUAGUAUAGAGCACAUUUUGAUAUUUAAGUUUACUUAGGGUUCCUGCAGUCUGUAUCGAAUGCAGCAAGUUUUGGCUGAUCAAACCACAACACUGAUAAACUGGAUUUGUUUGGAAAUGACCUAGACUUUACAAGAGCAAGACAAGUCACCAGCUAAUCAUAUCACUUAAGGUACUUGACAUGAUCCUGGCUGAGCUCAGCUCAGUGAUUAAAUCCUUCCAGACAGUUUUUUCUUUUUAAGCAACAGUCACUGAACACCUAUUUGAAUGUGGUAGGCACUAGAUUUUCCACAUGUCCUAUGUAAGAGACAACAUCAGAAGCCCAUGAGAACCUGCUUUCCUCCGAGGAACUUGUCCUGUUGUAUAUCCUGGCUGCAAAGCCCCUCCUCACACCCCUGUGGAGGGGCUUGGGUGCCAGUCCUCCUAUUCAAGAAGUGUUUUCAGUCUUCUCAUCCCAGCCAUUAUUGAGUAGCUGGCUGAGUUUCCUGUCCAAGAAGGACACAAUUACCUGCCUCCCACAAUAUACAUCCAGCCAGGAUCAGCUUACUCGUGGCCAGCCAGCCACUCCCCUAAGAGGAGCAGUUGCCGAUAAGCUUGGAAAAAAACAAGUCUCCCUUUAUCUCCUAUUACCUCCAUCACAUUGGUCGUAAAUAAGGUCAGCCGGGAUCUGUCUAGCCUCCAGCCAUGGCCCAGUGUAAAGUAGAUAUGUCAAAGAAAAUGGGAAAAAUCUUUUACACUCCUUCCAUACUUUCUCUCAAGUCACUCAAAGAGCCAAAUGAAAUAGGGUGUGGGUCUUCAUUUCCCAUCGUGCAGUGGAUCCUCCUUUUGUCUUUGUCCUCUGCUAGUUUAUUCUUAAUUCAGAGGCCAGAAGGUUCUAGUUAAAAGGCACACCAGACUAUGUCAAGCCUUUACUCAGAACCUCCAAUAGCUCCAACUGCAAUCAGAAGCUGUGACUGAAGACUCUUGUAUCCCAACCCCUUGUGAAUCUGAUUUCCUACUGGUUCCUUCUCCUCAGCAGCCUCAAUAAUCUUGUUCCUUGAGCUCAUCACCCCACCCUCACCCCCACCCAGAGCCUUUACUUUCCUUGUUCCUUCUGCCUGGGACAUUCAUCUCCCAGCUAGCCACAAGGCUUCCUCCCUCACUUCCUUUACUCUGUGUGAACCUCACCUUGUCAGUGAAGUCUACUAUGAUGUGCACAGAAGACCUUACCUUUCCCUCUGCUGCUGGUCCUCAUCGCCCUGUUCUAUCAUUCCCAUGGGAUUUACCAUCUUCUAGCAUAACAUAAUUUAUAUAUUGAAUCUGUUUAUAGGUUUUCUCUCCCCAGUAUAAAUGUAAGCUUUAAGAAGCCAUAGAGGGGCCAGGGAUUUAGCUCAGUGGUUCCGGUGCCUGCCUCGCAAGCACAAGGUCCCAAGUUCAAUCCCCAGGACCAAAAAAAAAAAAAAAAAAAGAAGGCAUAGAUUACGUCCUUUUAGUUUGCUGAUGCAUCUCAAAAAUGUCUAAAACACGAUAGAUAAUAGAAGCUCAAUAAAUAUUUGUCAUAUGAUGUAUACUUCUUAAAUUGAGGAAUCUAGGGGCACCUCAAAGUUAAUGAACAUUGUGGAGGCAUCUGGGACUAAAAAUCAGUUUCCUCCAUGCUAGAACCCACAUCCAUCAUCUAAUCCUCAUUUCCUUUUUAUCAACAACAGCACUUAGGGGAAAAUACCAGAGAGUUCCCUAUGGAGCUGAGUAGAUAGAUUUUUUUUUAAUAUUUAUUUGUUCAUCAAGGUCAAGGAUGCCAUAUGAAAACUCUGUAAGUAUUUUUUUCACAUUAAUACAUUUUCCUGAAAAUGUCCGUGAAUUUGGAUGAUUUUAUAUUCAUAUGCCAAUACUUGAAGAAUAAAUCUCAAACAAGGAGUCUUUGUUGUUAGUAGUGGUGUCUGUGGAGGUGGAGACAGGGAGGUGCAGUUGCGGAGGAGAAAUAUAGAAACAUUAGUUUAAUCAUGUGGGCUACUCUGUUAAUAAAGCUAGUGCCUCCUUUAUGACAAGGAGCUCUGGAAAACCAAAUAGAAAAUUGCUUUCCUUUAAAGAGAUCUACUGAGUCAUCGUCUGAAUCCCCUCUCUGCUACUUCUCACUUGGACUGCUGGUGAUUUUACUCCUAAUUUAUCUAAAGGGAGCUUAUGAAUCAUCAUCAAGAUUAAUUUCCAUUAGCUCCUCUAUCACUAAACACCGAAGUAACCUGUUGUAGUUAUCUAUUGCUGGAUAAUAAAUUACCCCAAAAUUUAGUACGUUAAAACAGCAACCAUUUCAUUUGCUUACAACUCUGUGCUUCUGUAAUUUAGAGUUCAGCUGGGUGGUCUUCCUGUUCCAGGCAAUGCUCACUGUGAUCACUCAUUGGCUGUAUGCAUCUGGUGGCUGGGACCAGCUGAAACUGAUGAAUCUGCCAAGUUGUAAAGCAAGCAGCAGUCCAUUGUAAGAUGAAAGUGAGGCACCGGGGACUCAACCAACACUCAAAGACUAGUGGGCAUGUUUAGGUUGAGCAAGCAGGGAGCUCAGAUCCCUCAUGGCAUCCACCACAGUUACCAGCACAUCUCCCUCAGCAGACAUAAGGCCAUUGGAAGGAGAAGAAAAAAAAAUGGUUUAGGUAAGUUUACAUUUGGCUUGGAUCAGUGUGAGAAUACAGCCUGAAAAUGAAAAACCACCAUAUAACAACCACACUCAAGAGUGACUUUGAAAGAAAAUGGGGAAAAAAAGAGAAUGAAAAUCUUAUCACUGAGUGGAGCUAUAAUUAGAGCAUCUGGCCACUAAUGUUAUGGAAAGACAAGUGGUCCAAGCUGAGUAUGACUUAAUGGAUUGGUUCGAGGUCUAGAAGGAAAAUGACUGGAAAAUUGGAGACAAAGAGGUCUGGGGUGGAGCCACGUGGCCAGACCUACAGGAGUGGGCAUGAAGUAUGCGCAUGUUAAUGUGACAUGUUAAUGUCCACUGGAAAGCAUCCACUACAGAAGUGACAUUGGACAAUUUACAUUAGCUAGCCUUCAUCAUUAGUUCCCUCAGAACAGGCUUGAUGGACUGUCAAAAGAAAUGGCCAUACUGGUGAAAAAGAGCUUCCAUAUGGACCCAAAUGCAAAGACUUCCACUGAAGAAGACUGAUGCAGAUAUCGCCUUCUCUGAAUGUCCAAACUGCUGACAACAAGGACCAAUCCUGAGCCCCAGUAUGCUUCCUUGACAAUUUGUCCUCAUAUCAAUAGACACCUAUUCUGAGUGUGAGUCUGCCUUUCAUGUCUGCAGAGCUUUAUGUAGCAACAUUAUCCAGUGGUUUAUGUGGAAACUGACUCACAGCGCAGGCAUCAGGAAUUUAGGGUUCAGAGCCACUCUGGCCCACACCUGGAGAGUUUCCUUCCUCCUGGGAUUCCCAGGGAAAAGCAUGGCUUUCUCUAGACUCUCAGGUGUAAGUCCUUCCUUUCUGCUUUAGAGGCUCCACAUUAGGAAGAUCAGGAUCAGAGCCUCACUCAAACACUCACCCACGCCUAACAUUCUUACUCUCUCCAGUCUUUCUCCUUCCUGCCUUAUCCACUUAUCUCUUCAAGUCUGAAAAUUACUUUAACAUUGUAUCUGUGUCUUCUCAAGUCUAUGGUUCAAAGUAUAAAUCCUGUGGUUUGCUAGUCCUCUAAUAUUGGCUUUAGAUAUUUAAACCCUAGUUUCUGGAACUCUCAUCAAACUAACUUCCUUCCUUUCACUUCUCCUCAUUGUCUUCCUCCCUCUUGUCUUCUACCUUUGAGUUCUAAAAUCUCAAAAAAGCCUGGUCCUUGCAAUAAGAAAACACUGUCUAUUGUGUGUUAAAAAUUCCAUUCAGCAAACCAGUUGACUUAUUUGAACCAGGAUAUAUAAAAAUUUUUUUGAACUUCAGACAUAUAUCACAGUCUCUUCCCAGCUGAGAAUUUAUCCUGUUCUAGGCCCAUGAAACAUUUCCUAAGGGUGAUCAGUUAUUAAGCCAUAAUAAAAAGUUUAAUACAUUCCAUCAUUCAGGCCACAAUCUUCGAUCACUAUGCAGAGAGAUUUAACAUUAAUGCCAAAACUUAAAAGAAUAAAAUCCCACCACACUCUUACAUAGCUUUUGGAUCAAAGAGAAAUCAAAAGAGUGAUUGCAGGUUAUUUAUAAAACAAUGAUAAGAAUACUACAUAAGUGAGGUGGCCAAGAUUGUGCAUAGGAACAAUUAGUUUUAGAGGCUUUUGUAAUUAAACAAAGAAAAGAAUACAAAUAAACUGUUCAAGUAGAAGUUAAAAACAGAGCCAACAAAUACGACUAUGGCAAAUAAAAGAGGAAAUUGAUAAAGACUAAAGUAGAAAUUAGCAGUUAGAAGAAAGCCAGUAAAUUUGAUAGAUAAAUAAAUAAAAUGGUUCUUUAAAGUAUUAGAUAAAAAAGAAAAACUUUUUCCAAAGCCAAUCAAGAAAAACAAGGGGAAAAACCAAGCAAUUGGAGUGAGGACAGAUAUAUAACCACAGCUAGCAGAGAGAUUUAUGUUUUAUUAUGUAGAUUAUUAUGCUGAACUCUACUAAAACUUAUGAAGUCUGGGAAAAUGAAUGAUUUUCCAAUAAAAUAAAUUAUCAAAAUUUGUUAAGGAAUAAAAUGUAAAUAUACUCAUGAUCAUAAAAGAAAUUUUAAGAGUUUUCGGAGCUCUCCAAAAAUAUGCAUAGCUUUUACAAGCCAGAUCCAAUAGAACUUCACUGAGCAUAUAAUUGUCAUAGAAUUUAAACUGUUGCAGAAUUUCACUUCAUUUUACUAAAUUAGCAUAGUCUUGAUCUCUAAAUGUGUAGCAAGAAUCUACUAUAAUCUCAGAUGUGAAUAUAUUUCACGAAUUUUAAGUAAAGUAUUAGCAAAACAAAUCAAUAGUAUAACAAAAGAAUAAUGUGGCCUGGGAUUUAGCUCAGUGGUUUCGGUGCCUGCCUCGCAAGCGCAGGGUCCCGAGUUCAAUCCCUGGUACCCCCCCCCCCCCAAGGAAAGAAAACAAAAGAAUAAUGUAAUAUGAGUAAAGUUUUUCUGAGAAUGGAGGCAUAGUUCAAUAAUGGAAAAUCUCAGACAUUAGUGGAAAAUAAAUUGAUGCAGCCUUUUAGGGAGGGCAGUUUGAUUAAAUUCUAUCAAAUUUAGGAAUGCAUUGAAUCUGUGCCUUAGUCCCCUUAUAGUUACCUGUACUUAAAGAAAUAUGGGUACAAGAUGUUUGCACAAGAACCCUCUUUUUUUCUUGAUAGUGAGACAGAGAGAGAGACAGACAGACAGAGAGACAGAGACAGAGAGAGGAAACAACUUAAAUAUCCAUUAAUAAGAGAAUGACUAAGUCACAGUGUUACACUAAAAAGUACAAGGUAGUAUUUUAAAAGAAUGGGUUACUCUGUACCAAAACAGAAAAAUCUCUGCUACAUUAAGUAAACAAGACAACAAAACCAAACCAUUACUGGAGACCUCUCAGUAGGUUCCAGUCUCCUGCCCAGUAUACGAUGCAGAGCUGAAGAAAGACUCAAAAACAGAAUUAAAGAAAAAAGUGGGGAGCCAGGAUGGCCAGUGCUGAGCAACCAGGAAGGCCAUGGUCACUGAUUUUUAUUGGUAAUCAAAUUGGGAUAAAGGGUAACUAUGUGCUAAGAUGUGCAGUUGUGCAGUUGCUAUGAAUACUAAUGCAGGUAAGGCUUGUAAAGGAAAAGAUAAAGCAUUCUUGAAGUAAGAUCAGAACAGAGAAAAUAUAGGGUUGUAAUUAGUACCUUGUCCUUCUAGUUAAGAAGGUUUUAGUUGUGAGAAUGGAAUUUGGGUGCGAGUUACUUUGACCUCAGCUACUAUAUUAUCUCAUAUUGAGCCCCAUAGCUUCACAGAACAUUUCUCUGGUCUCUGCUGGGGCCGUUAGUGGGAAGGUCAUGCUAACCUGUGCGCUACUGCAGUGCUUAGGAGGUGCUUCUAUGAGUCACAUAAGCUUCAGACUCUCUUCUUAAAAUGGGCCAAUUGAGGGGUUAACUCUUUAUAGCCUGCACUGCUUACAGCCCACUUUGGGCAUAAUCAGUAGGGUGGCUCCCUACAAACCCCAAAUAUAUGAACUAAAUAAUAUUAUAUAAUGAUCCUAUUAAUGUAAAAAAAACUGUAGAGCCACAAAUGUGUGCACUUACCUGAGUAUGUAUAAAUGAAGAUAGCUCUAUCUAUAGAAGAUAACUCAAGAGGUGAGGAUGGGGUUGAUGACAUGGUACUGGGUGGCAAAGAGAUGUCAUUUUUUUUCCAUAUAGGUCCUGCAUUGUUUCACAUUUUCACAAUGAAGCUAUGCUCAGGGGUCACUUGUGUAACUAAAAUAGUAAAGAGUCAAAUAACACAUUUUGUAAUAAUUCAUUCCAUCAAUAAUCAAAAGAGGAAAAAAUCCUUAUACUUGAUGGUUUCCAGAAAAGCUUCUACCUCCUGCUAAUUCUUUUUAAAACUAAUUUUUUUUGGGGGUACCAGGGUUCGAACUCAGAACCUUGUGCUUGCGAGGCAGGCAGUGGAACCACUGAGCUAAAUCCCCAGCCCCUUAAAACUAAUCUUAAGAAAGAAAAAAGAAACUUUUAAAGUAAGAUCAAGAAUAUCAAGACAAUGAUUAUCAUCAUACUUAACAGUGGAGGGUUAAAGUAGUACCUAAUAAAGUUGGGCAGAUGGACUGGGAGGUCAGUAAUAUAAUUAUUGAACACUUAACAAUUUUGGUCAAUUCAAUUCCAUAGGAAAAGAAGAAACAGUAACCUUGAGAGAGGAAAGGAGUGUGGUGGGGGGAGAGAGAGAGUAUUAAUGUGUUAAGAAGGAAUAUAAAAUUGUUACUGUUUACAGGUAUGAUAAUCUCCAGGGAAAACCCAAGAGGUUCAACAAUAAAAGAGCACUUGCAUACGCCAAGGGCUUCCUGGCUGCCAGCCCUCUGCUCAGUCUUCAUAGACACAGUCUCAUUUAAUUCCCAAGAACCCUACGAUGCACAUUUAUCGUUUCUGUUCAACAGACAAGGAAAACUAUGUGCCUCAAAGGUUUAGGAGGCAGUGAGUGGUGAAGCAGCUGAGCCCAGAUUUAACCUGAGCUCUGAAUCUGGAGCUGGUUGAGAUCCUGCAGCCUGAAUGCACACUGUUUAAAAGCCACAGGGUAUCUUUUAAUAAGAAGACAACUAUAAUAGAGAAAAAGAUAUAAUAAUAAACACUUUAAAGUGGUGGUGUUUAUAUAGAAUAUCAAAAGCUAAUUUGGAAAUAUCAGGAAAAAUUACGUUCUAUGUGCCAUGGCGACCAGAAUUAUGUUAACAGCACACUUAAAAAUACCAGUAAAAGAAAACUUCAAAACUUUACCGAGAGACAAAGAAAAAACUUGAAUACACAGAGACAUGCUCAUCUGUAACUUGCAAGUCAAUAUUGAAUAUAUUUCAGUUGUACUCAAACCAACCCACAAAUAUAAAUUCUUAACAAAUUAGCAGUUUUGUCAGAACCUGACCAAACUACUCUUUUAAGAAAAAUGUUUAAUUUCAAGAGCUCAUUGUAUUAAACAAAUCAGAAAUACGUCACAUAAAACAUUUCCUCCAGAAGUAAACACUGUAAACAUUGUUAUUUGAAGCCCCCCUCAGAAUCCUGCUCUUUUAGCAUAAUAAAGACAAAUGACAUGCAGAGAAUGGCUUAGAGUAGGUCAUGAGGGCAUAUUACUAAGUUUUUAGGAAUUUUGUGAACUGGUUGAUAAACAUAGGCAAUAUGAAGAUCAUAUUAUAUAAACUAACAAUAAGUUAUUUAAAAAGCGUAAGUAAAACAUUUUUAAAGUUCAUUUCUUUCGAAUUAUUUUAUUAAAUGAUGUUAGCUAUGUGUGCUUCUAAGGUACUUUACAUGUAUUUUGUCUGAAUGAUGGACAUGCUAAACAGUGGUCUGCUGUUGUUCUCCUCCCAAUUCUGUGAGCAGUGACAUCAUGUUAGCAGGUUGCAACUGACUAUGGUGGGGAUACUUUGACCAUGGAGGGUGGCUGUGUUUGUCAGCUUUCUGUUACUAUAACAAAUGGCUAGAAUAAUCAAUUUCAAAAGAGAAAGGUUUAUUCGGCUUAUAGCUUUGGAAGUUUCACCCCAGGAUCAGAUGGCCCUGUUGCUUUUAGGCCUGUGAUGGCACAUCGUGGGGGGAUCCUGAGGUGGAGAAAAAACACCCAUGCAUGCCUGGAAGGCAGGAAAGAUCAGGAUCCCACCAUCCCCUUCAAGGGCACACCCCCACUGACCUGAAGACCUUCUCUCAGAACCCACUCCUUGGAGUUUCCACCGCCUCCCAGCAGCACCAAGCAGAGGCCCAAGCCUUUAACGCAUGGGCCUGUGGGGGCCACUCCAGAUCCAAACUGUAGCACUGACAAAUGCUACUGACCACAGUCUUUUCAGAGCUGGUUAUUAAACAUUGAACUCAGUAGCAGGAGUCAUAUGUAUUUUAUCUGUGUGUGUAUGCACGUGGUUCAAUAAAAGAGGGGAAAAAAUCAUAUCUCACCUCCCUACUUAAAAGUAGAAUAAAUGAGGAUGACAAAUACAACUUGUUUCAUAAUCAGUACUAAUGAGGUAGAAAAGGAUUCCUUGCGGCAAAGAACUUAAAAGAGUUAUCACACUUAAACAUGUCAUGAAUUUUUCUUUUAUAAAAGACAGUGUUUUCAAUCUACUAAUCUUUUCCAGGAUGAAAGUAGGGUCAGUAAAAUGCACUUCAAAUUAUUUGGAAAAAACAGAUAUGCUUGUCUUUUCAAGGCACAAAUUACAUUGUAACAAAGAGUGGGGGAAUAACAGCCUUUUGGGAAUAACAGCCUUUCGAGAUAAACUCAUGCUUUGGAGAGAGUAUGCUGGAAAUGGGCAGAAGAUAUACCUCUAGAGUUGUGUGAUUUUGGGGGCUGAAAAUGAUGUAAGUGAACAGUCUAUAAAAAGACUAUAUCUGCUUACUUUAAAAACUUGGAAAUAGGAUAUUCUACUGUGCUUCAGUCUUCUGAAAUAAACUAACUUGCUAACAAUGUGGAAAGAUAAAAGCUUCCAAUUAUUUGGCAGAAACAACCAGCAGCCAUCAGGAAUAAUGGAAAUUGUUAGCUGAAUCUCAACAAAGACAUUUGCAUAUUGGUGAACAAAACUGCAAAUGAGUAUCACUAUUACUGGAGCAUAGUCUAUAAAAAUACUGCUUUCAUUUGGUGUCUUGCGUGAUGGUGAAGCUGCUUUUCACUUAUUUCAAAACCAAUUACUGGAAUAAUCUGAGUUUAGAAGGAGAAUUGGGAGGGGCUGAGUAUCACAGAGCAUUGAGUCAAGAUUGUAAAAUAAAGAAAUAACAUUUACCUUUGUUAAAACACAUUUUUAAGUGAGAGAAAAAUAUCCUGUACCUUAACAAUGAAGUUUAAAAGUAUUUACUUGAUAUUUAAAUUUUCCUUUUAAAAUUCCGCAGUGUGGAAUUGGACCGGCAGCAUCCCCGG
ensembl:lncRNA